GAGGGUAUAGCUCAAGUGGUAGAGCACUUGCUUAGCAUGAAUGAGGUCCUGGGUUCAAUCUCCAGUACCUCCU
rnacentral:tRNA from 1 species